CACGUAGGGGGCAAGCGUUGUCCGGAUUUAUUGGGCGUAAAGAGCUCGUAGGCGGCUCAGUAAGUCGGGUGUGAAACCUCCAGGCUCAACCUGGAGACGCCACCUGAUACUGCUGUGGCUAGAGUCCGGUAGGGGAGCGUGGAAUUCCUGGUGUAGCGGUGAAAUGCGCAGAUAUCAGGAGGAACACCAGCGGCGAAGGCGGCGCUCUGGGCCGGAACUGACGCUGAGGCGCGAAAGCGUGGGGAGCAAACAGG
rnacentral:rRNA from 1 species